AAUUUACUAGUCUUACAAAAUUUGUGAUCAUAUUAUUAUCACUAAUUAUUUAUUGGUGUAACUUUUCAUAUCCUAUUUCUUAAACUUUUCAUAUCUUGUUUCUUAAUCUAACAUCUAUAUAAAUUUAAGUCUAUAUAAAUAUUAUAAAAUUGAGUUAUGAAAUAAGGCCACAAUAUAAAACUGAGUUAUGAUAGGAAGAUAAAUAAGCUAAUGAAAAAUAAGAUAAAAUAUAAUUAAUGAAUAUAACAGUUGCAUAUAAAAAGUCACACUCACACAGUCCUAAGGAUAUAAUCAUGAAUGAAUAUUAAGU
rnacentral:misc_RNA from 1 species